CUACACAUGCAGUCGAGCGGUAGAGAGAAGCUUGCUUCUCUUGAGAGCGGCGGACGGGUGAGUAAUGCCUAGGAAUCUGCCUAGUGGUGGGGGAUAACGUUCGGAAACGGACGCUAAUACCGCAUACGUCCUACGGGAGAAAGCGGGGGACCUUCGGGCCUCGCGCCAUUAGAUGAGCCUAGGUCGGAUUAGCUAGUUGGUGAGGUAAUGGCUCACCAAGGCGACGAUCCGUAACUGGUCUGAGAGGAUGAUCAGUCACACUGGAACUGAGACACGGUCCAGACUCCUACGGGAGGCAGCAGUGGGGAAUAUUGGACAAUGGGCGAAAGCCUGAUCCAGCCAUGCCGCGUGUGUGAAGAAGGUCUUCGGAUUGUAAAGCACUUUAAGUUGGGAGGAAGGGUAGUAACUUAAUACGUUGCUACUUUGACGUUACCGACAGAAUAAGCACCGGCUAACUUCGUGCCAGCAGCCGCGGUAAUACGAAGGGUGCAAGCGUUAAUCGGAAUUACUGGGCGUAAAGCGCGCGUAGGUGGUUCAGUAAGUUGGAAGUGAAAUCCCCGGGCUCAACCUGGGAACUGCUUUCAAAACUGCUGAGCUAGAGUACGGUAGAGGGUGGUGGAAUUUCCUGUGUAGCGGUGAAAUGCGUAGAUAUAGGAAGGAACACCAGUGGCGAAGGCGACCACCUGGACUGAUACUGACACUGAGGUGCGAAAGCGUGGGGAGCAAACAGGAUUAGAUACCCUGGUAGUCCACGCCGU
rnacentral:rRNA from 2 species